rnacentral:lncRNA from 1 species
UUGCAAGCGCACAAGUCUAUUGAAGUAUAAGUUAAGAAUAACGAGAUUGAACUCAAAUAAAUUGUCAAAUUUUAAGAAAGCCAAAUAUGAUCUAAGUAAAUCAUGAUCUACCCUAAUUGAAAAGAAAAUAUUUGUUUGAUAAAAUCUAAAUUGAAGAUGCAAGAGAAUUAAAGGCGAGAAAAUUAACAUGUGAAUUCAAGAGAUUGAAUCUAUCAGGGUUUCAGAAUUCAUCACUAUUCAACUUAACAAUAACCUAAUUAUCAAUCAAUUCUCAAUUUUAGAGUGACAAUUCAAAACUAAUCUCUAUCUACUCAUAGAUAUAACAAUUAAGUUAGUUAAAAUUAUUUUUAUAUAGGUCGUUUCUGUACUUAAUAUUGUGAUAUCUAAGCAUUUUAUGUAAAAAAUAUUAAAUAAUAAAAAGUCAAAGUUUUCCUAAACAAUGUUAAAUAAAUAAUUUCAUGAAAGACAAUGAAUGAAAAAAAAAUCAUAUAUAAACUUUAUAGAUCCAAACAUAAGUUUAGUCAAAUAUUAACCUUAACAAUCAAUAAUACAUGGCAAAAUUUGUCAAAAGAUUUAUUAAUAUAUGACCAAAUAUAUGAAAUAAAAUCUAAAAUAUUAAAGCAUACGUGUAGGGAAUCAAUUGAAUAAAAGUAAAUUAAUUAAAACAAAAAUCAUCGGAAUGCAAUCCGAAUGUAACCCCAUCUGAUUAAGUUAGGAUCAUAUUCGGAUUGAAUGAAUAUUUUAGAUUAAUUUAGUUUAAGAUCGGAUCGGAUUAAAUUCGGAUGCCAAAAAUCAGCUAAAGUUAGGGGCAACAUCGAUGUGGUUGCCAAUUGCCAAAAAAGGCAAGAUUGUCAAGCCAAACUGCGGGCAGAAGCAGAAUAAUAAGAGCAAUAAUGACAACAAAGCAUUGAUUUCCACCAGGGGUCAGUCCAUCAAGUGCAAUUGCCAUGUUUGGAAAAAGAUUCUCCUGUUUAUCUCCUUCCAAGAUCAAGAAUCAAUCAGUAGAGAUCUAUGUUCACGAGAACUGAAACAAUUAGUCUCCCGUUCUUCCCACAGGCGCAGUAUUGGCUGGUCCGUGGGUUGAUGCGAGCUUGUGGGUACCAACUAGGUUUGUGGUUGCGGGUUCGGGAAUCUGCCCAGUGAUGUCGGUGAUGUCGAUGAGGCUGGUUCGGCUCGUGGCUGCUGGCUAGUUCGUGGAUCGUGAGUUUGGACGGUUUCGUGAACUAAGUCCAAGUCAAGAUGACAAGUUUUUUGUUCAACCGUUAAUAUAGUUUAUAUUUUAGUUUUGAUUUCUUCUUCAAUUUUUUGUUUGCCUGGGUUUUUGAACUUCGCGAGAUGUCGCUGAGUUUGAGAAUAGGGAUGGCAAAACCCAGGGCCGAGUCUGGGUAUUGCAAUGAUCGAACUCUGUUCGGAUGUAAUUGGUCCAGGUCUGGAUCCGGGUCGGGUUUUAAUCUGUAUACUCGAAUUUUAUAUUUUUUAAUAUUAUAUGUGUAUAUAUUUUUUAUUUUUUGUUAAUUUUAUAAGUUUUAAAUUUAUUUCAAUAAAAUUUGACAUGAAAAUAUAAACUUUAAGUAUUUAAAACUUUAUAUAUGUAUAAUAAAUGAGUCAAAUAAAUAUAAAUAUUUAAAAUAAUAUAUAUUUUAUAAUAUUUUUUUAAUAAAAUUCGGGUUCUGGGUUUAUCAAGUGAUGCCCAAAACCGACCCGGCUUCAUACCCAGACCGGGUAAUACUCGGCCCACAAAGCUCGGGUACGGUCCGGGUCCAGACCGAGCAUGUAUUUUUGCCACCUCUAUUUGACAAUAUGGAAUUUUGAUUUUGAUUUUCUAAUUUGCUUUUGUAUUUUAGUUUUUUUUUUGU